GAGGGUAUAGCUCAGUGGUAGAGCAUGCGCUUAGCAUGCCUGAGGGCCUGGGUUCAAUCCCUAGUGCUUCCG
rnacentral:tRNA from 1 species